AAAAAAAAAUACACUUUGAUCAAUUGCAAAUCUGCUUGCAUCUCACCAGGCUCCUGGUUGCAAGUGAAAGAAUCCAACGCAGGCUAGGAUACAGCAAGGCAGUGGAUUGGAAGAGUCUUAGGGAGCACCAAGAGUCUACAGGGAGGCUGCAACACCAGGAUGGGAACAGGCAAGGAGGCCAGGCAACAGAGAGCCAGCUAGCUCCACUCCUCACUGCCCAGGCACCAGCCCUACUGGGCACCACUGCCACCCCUUGGUGGCUGGCACCACCAGGUGGAAGAAAUAGGCGAAGCCAAGGUGUGGAGCAAAGAAGGAUGAAGCCCUUUCACAGCAUCAAAACGAGGUUGUCAGAGCAACUAGCAACUUCUACAUUCCUCCCAGCCCAGCCCCAGCCCCGUGCAGACUGAAGUGUUUGGCACCUAGGACCAGGCAUGCUCCCUGCAUUCUCUGCCUGGUCCCAUGAGCCGGACGAGGGUAGCUGCCCCUCCAUGCCGAGGCUGUGCCAACCUCUAGAGCCCCCAGAGCCCAAUGUCUGUGUGAGCCCUGAGAAUGCCACUCCUGGGUGCUGGUGUUGGGUACAGGCCUGGAGCAGAGCCGAUGGGGGAAGCGUGAACUUGAAUCCCCUCUCCGCCACUCACUUGGGCCGGGGCUUAGCAUCUCUGACCCUGGUCUCCUCCUCUAGAAAAUGGAAGUCAUAAAAAUUGUGCCAGGUCUCUGUUCCCAAGCACCCUGAUUUCCCUUUUCGACUCUUUGUAUUGCCUCAAAAAAUAGGAAAUGGAAGUGCCCGGCCUUUGAACAGAACUUCCUCUCGCUGCCUGCAUCAUCAAAGCACAGAGGGGCAGGCUUGGAGGUCUGGAGGGUGGGGGUCCAGGGCUGGGAGAGACACCAGGAGCUUGUUUGUUCCCCUGAGGGUGCCUGGGAGACCAAGAUGAGCAGUUCAUGUCCCUGAGGCCCGCUGACUCUCUCCCCUCUGGCCUCCCCUGCCAUUCUAUUAGGGAUGCUCCACCUAUACCGUAUGGGCCAGGCACAGUUUUAGGUGCUGAGGAUACAACAGUGAACAAAACCGAGCAAGCCCCACCUCUGUGGCACUGAUAUUCUGGUAGGGGAGCAUGAUAAUGGACAAAUGAAUAUGUGGCAUCAUCUGAUAGAGUUGGCGGUGAUGCAUACCAGGAUUGUCAGCGACUGGAGCGGCUGAGACAGGAGGGUAGCAAGUUUGACACCAGCCUCAGCAACUUAACCAGACCCUAUCUCAAAAAAUGAAAAGGGCUGGGCCUGAGUUUAUCUAAACCCCAGGAGAAUGAUUUCCAGGAAAGACACCCCUGGUCAGGCAAUGACUGCCGUAGAGAAGGCAUGAGCACCUGGGCUCCUGGGUCCUAACUCUCUCCCUUUAGUCUGGAAGGGUCCUCGCCAUGCCCGGAGGCCACAGCAAAGGAGAAAAGGCUCAGACAGAGGAAUAGGAGAGAUCUGUUUCAGAUCCUGGUCGUGUGACUUGCUGUGUGGUCUGAGACACCAGCUCAUCCCUUCCAGGCUGCACCUUCUCUGCAAUGGACUGGGAACAAGAAGACUUAGGUCCCAAGGUCAUGGUCAAGGCCUGUGUGGGAUCAUGCAUGUCAAGAACAUGACACAUGGGCACUCAAGAAGUGUCAAGUCUGCUCCCCUCCUGAAACGGAGACCAGAGAAGGGAGGUGACUUGCCCAAGGUCACACUGCAAGUUGUGGCAGAGGGUUGGCAGGGUUUGGCCCAAUGUUCUCACCCCUGACAGCCAGGUCUGACCUUCUUCUGUGGCCAGGUGAAGGGUUGUCAGGGCGGUUGCUGACA